rnacentral:rRNA from 1 species
UACGUAGGGUGCGAGCGUUGUCCGGAACUAUUGGGCGUAAAGAGCUUGUAGGCGGUUUGUCGCGUCUGCUGUGAAAUCUCAAGGCUCAACCUUGAGCUUGCAGUGGGUACGGGCAGACUAGAGUGUGGUAGGGGAGACUGGAAUUCCUGGUGUAGCGGUGAAAUGCGCAGAUAUCAGGAGGAACACCGGUGGCGAAGGCGGGUCUCUGGGAAGUAACUGACGCUGAGAAGCGAAAGCAUGGGUAGCGAACAGG